rnacentral:rRNA from 1 species
GAUCCUGGCUCAGAAUCAACGCUGGCGGCGCGCUUAACACAUGCAAGUCGCACGAGAAAGCGGGGGCAACCCUGUGAGUACAGUGGCGUACGGGUGAGUAACACGUGGGAAUCUAACCUUUAGUGGGGAAUAACGCUGGGAAACCGGCGCUAAUACCGCAUAAUCUCGAGAGAAGCAAUGCGCUGAAGGAGGAGCCCGCGGCCGAUUAGCUAGUUGGGAGGGUAAAAGCCUACCAAGGCAGAGAUCGGUAGCCGGCCUGAGAGGGCACACGGCCACACUGGCACUGAAACACGGGCCAGACUCCUACGGGAGGCAGCAAUGGGGAAUCUUGCACAAUGGGGGCAACCCUGAUGCAGCGACGCCGCGUGAGCGAUGAAGCCCUUCGGGGUGUAAAGCUCUUUCGGCAGGGACGAUAAUGACGGUACCUGCAGAAGCAGCUGCGGCUAACUACGUGCCAGCAGCCGCGGUAAUACGUAGGCAGCGAGCGUUGUUCGGAGUUACUGGGCGUAAAGGGUGUGUAGGCGGUUUUCUAAGUUUGGUGUGAAAUCUCCCGGCUCAACCGGGAGGGUGCGCCGAAAACUGGGAGACUAGAGUGCGGGAUGGGAGAGUAGAAUUCCUGGUGUAGCGGUGAAAUGCGUAGAUAUCAGGAGGAAUACCGGUGGUGCAGACGGCUCUCUGGACCGCAACUGACGCUGAGACACGAAAGCGUGGGUAGCAAACAGGAUUAGAUACCCUGGUAGUCCACGCCCUAAACGAUGCAUAUUUGGUGUAGGUCAUUCAGUUGAUCUGUGCCGGAGCUAACGCGUUAAAUAUGCCGCCUGGGGAGUACAGUCGCAAGGCUGAAACUCAAAGGAAUUGACGGGGGCCCGCACAAGCGGUGGAGCAUGCGGUUC